GUUUUUAUGGUGUAGUGGACUGAGUGUUGGACUAUGACUCUGGAGGCCAGGGUUCAAAUCCCUGCUCAGGCU